CCUACGGGCGGCAGCAGUGGGGGAUAUUGCACAAUGGGGGAAACCCUGAUGCAGCGACGCCGCGUGAGUGAAGAAGUAUUUCGGUAUUUAAAGCUCUAUCAGCAGGGAAGUAAAUGACAGUACCUGACCAAGACGCCCCGGCUACCUACGUUCCAGCAGCCGCGGUACUACGUAGGGGGCAAGCGUUAUCCGGAUUUACGGGGAGUAAAGGGAGCGUAGACGGUUAUUUAAGUCUGGAGUGAAAGUCCGGGGCCAAACUCCGGCACUGCCUCUGAUACUGUCGGGCUAGAGUUUAGUUGCGGUAGGCGGAAUUUAUGGUGUAGCGGUGAAAUGCAUAGAGAUCAUACAGAACACCGAUUGCGAAGGCAGCUUACCAAACUACAACUGACGUUGAGGCACGAAAGCGUGGGGAGCAAACAGGAUUAGAUACCCCUGUAGUC
rnacentral:rRNA from 1 species